rnacentral:rRNA from 1 species
AUUGAACGCUGGCGGCAGGCCUAACACAUGCAAGUCGAGCGGAGCGGCGGACGGGUGAGUAAUGCCUAGGAAUCUGCCUGGUAGUGGGGGAUAACGUCCGGAAACGGGCGCUAAUACCGCAUACUAUCAGAUGAGCCUAGGUCGGAUUAGCUAGUUGGUGGGGUAAAGGCCUACCAAGGCGACGAUCCGUAACUGGUAUGAGAGGAUGAUCAGUCACUCUGGAACUGAGACACGGCACAGUCUCCUACGUGAGGCAGCAGGGGGGAAUAUUGGUCAAUGGGCGAAAGCCUGAUCCAGCCAUGCCGCGUGUGGGAAGAAGGUCGUCGGAUUGUAAAGCACUUUAAGUUGGGAGGCGUUACCAACAGAAUAAGCACCGGCUAACUUCGUGCCAGCCGCCGCGGUAUUC